rnacentral:lncRNA from 1 species
AAACUAUACAGUUUCAGUUACCAAUGCAUACCAAAAGACCUUUUAAAGAGUGCAACGGUCAAAAAGGUGAACUAUACAAAAGGUGUGCUAUACAAACCCAGAGACACAAGCUGUGUGGUUACUACUAGCCAUUAGUAAAACUACAGAGAAUUUAUUAUCUGACAUAAUUAUAAUAGCAGUCCCCGCCCCCCCUAGAAGAAAGCCAUAUAAAAGAAACAGGUGUCAAAUCUCAAACUAUACAGUUUCAGUUACCAAUGCAUACCAAAAGACCUUUUAAAGAGUGCAACGGUCAAAAAGGUGAACUAUACAAAAGGUGUGCUAUACAAACCCAGAGACACAAGCUGUGUGGUUACUACUAGCCAUUAGUAAAACUACAGAGAAUUUAUUAUCUGACAUAAUUAUAAUAGCAGUCCCCUUCAGGUGACAUAUCAGCAGUUUUAAUUAGCCUUCACCCAAGUGUUUGACAAAGGUUCCUUAUCUUUGAAUAUAACAUCAAAAAACUACAGGACAAUGCAACUCCGCAUUGCUGUGCCUGAGCUUUCAAUCAUGUGCAGUUGUUUUGACAUCUAAAGCAAGCUUGAGCAGAUCCAUCACCUCCAUUUCACGAUUUUCAUUCAAAGCCAGAGAUUCUAUCUUUAGCCUCUUGCCCCUUCCAAAAAUAUUCAGUUACGAUAGUAAUAUACCCUAAAUUCUGUGACUUGGG